rnacentral:rRNA from 1 species
AUUGAACGCUGGCGGCAUGCUUUACACAUGCAAGUCGAACGGCAGCGCGGGCUUCGGCCUGGCGGCGAGUGGCGAACGGGUGAGUAAUGCAUCGGAACGUGCCCAGUAGUGGGGGAUAGCCCGGCGAAAGCCGGAUUAAUACCGCAUACGACCUGAGAGUGAAAGCGGGGGACCGAAAGGCCUCGCGCUAUUGGAGCGGCCGAUGUCGGAUUAGCUAGUUGGUGGGGUAAAGGCUUACCAAGGCGACGAUCCGUAGCUGGUCUGAGAGGACGACCAGCCACACUGGGACUGAGACACGGCCCAGACUCCUACGGGAGGCAGCAGUGGGGAAUUUUGGACAAUGGGGGCAACCCUGAUCCAGCCAUGCCGCGUGCGGGAAGAAGGCCUUCGGGUUGUAAACCGCUUUUGUUCGGGAAGAAAUCCUCUGGGCUAAUACCCCGGGGGGAUGACGGUACCGGAAGAAUAAGCACCGGCUAACUACGUG